rnacentral:rRNA from 1 species
GAUGAACGCUGGCGGCGUGCCUAAUACAUGCAAGUCGAGCGAACGGACGAGAAGCUUGCUUCUCUGAUGUUAGCGGCGGACGGGUGAGUAACACGUGGAUAACCUACCUAUAAGACUGGGAUAACUUCGGGAAACCGUAGCUAAUACCGGAUAAUAUUUUGAACCGCAUGGUUCAAAAGUGAAAGACGGUCUUGCUGUCACUUAUAGAUGGAUCCGCGCUGCAUUAGCUAGUUGGUAAGGUAACGGCUUACCAAGGCAACGAUGCAUAGCCGACCUGAGAGGGUGAUCGGCCACACAGGAACUGAGACACGGUCCAGACUCCUACGGGAGGCAGCAGUAGGGAAUCUUCCGCAAUGGGCGAAAGCCUGACGGAGCAACGCAGCGUGAGUGAUGAAGGUCUUCGGAUCGUAAAACUCUGUUAUUAGGGAAGAACAUAUGUGUAAGUAACUGUGCACAUCUUGACGGUACCUAAUCAGAAAGCCACGGCUAAUUACGU